rnacentral:rRNA from 1 species
CGAUGAAGCCCUUCGGGGUGGAUUAGUGGCGAACGGGUGAGUAACACGUGGGCAAUCUGCCCUUCACUCUGGGACAAGCCCUGGAAACGGGGUCUAAUACCGGAUACGAGUUCGGGAGGCAUCUCCUGGACUGGAAAGCUCCGGCGGUGAAGGAUGAGCCCGCGGCCUAUCAGCUUGUUGGUGGGGUAACGGCCCACCAAGGCGACGACGGGUAGCCGGCCUGAGAGGGCGACCGGCCACACUGGGACUGAGACACGGCCCAGACUCCUACGGGAGGCAGCAGUGGGGAAUAUUGCACAAUGGGCGAAAGCCUGAUGCAGCGACGCCGCGUGAGGGAUGACGGCCUUCGGGUUGUAAACCUCUUUCAGCAGGGAAGAAGCGAGAGUGACGGUACCUGCAGAAGAAGCGCCGGCUAACUACGUGCCAGCAGCCGCGGUAAUACGUAGGGCGCAAGCGUUGUCCGGAAUUAUUGGGCGUAAAGAGCUCGUAGGCGGCUUGUCACGUCGGGUGUGAAAGCCCGGGGCUUAACCCCGGGUCUGCAUCCGAUACGGGCAGGCUAGAGUGUGGUAGGGGAGAUCGGAAUUCCUGGUGUAGCGGUGAAAUGCGCAGAUAUCAGGAGGAACACCGGUGGCGAAGGCGGAUCUCUGGGCCAUUACUGACGCUGAGGAGCGAAAGCGUGGGGAGCGAACAGGAUUAGAUACCCUGGUAGUCCACGCCGUAAACGUUGGGAACUAGGUGUUGGCGACAUUCCACGUCGUCGGUGCCGCAGCUAACGCAUUAAGUUCCCCGCCUGGGGAGUAC